rnacentral:rRNA from 1 species
CCUACGGGAGGCAGCAGUGAGGCAUAUUGGUCAAUGGACGAGAGUCUGAACCAGCCAAGUAGCGUGAAGGAUGACUGCCCUAUGGGUUGUAAACUUCUUUUAUAUGGGAAUAAAAUGUUCCACGUGUGGGAUUUUGUAUGUACCAUAUGAAUAAGGAUCGGCUAACUCCGUGCCAGCAGCCGCGGUAAUACGGAGGAUCCGAGCGUUAUCCGGAUUUAUUGGGUUUAAAGGGAGCGUAGGUGGAUUGUUAAGUCAGUUGUGAAAGUUUGCGGCUCAACCGUAAAAUUGCAGUUGAAACUGGCAGUCUUGAGUACAGUAGAGGUGGGCGGAAUUCGUGGUGUAGCGGUGAAAUGCUUAGAUAUCACGAAGAACUCCGAUUGCGAAGGCAGUUCACUGGACUGCAACUGACACUGAGGCUCGAAAGUGUGGGUAUCAAACAGGAUUAGAGACCCCAGUAGUC